CGUCAAAUCAUCAUGCCCCUUAUGACCUGGGCUACACACGUGCUACAAUGGACAGAACAAAGGGCUGCAAGACCGCAAGGUUUAGCCAAUCCCAUAAAUCUGUUCUCAGUUCGGAUCGCAGUCUGCAACUCGGCUGCGUGAAGCUGGAAUCGCUAGUAAUCGCGGAUCAGCAUGCCGCGGUGAAUACGUUCCCGGGCCUU
rnacentral:rRNA from 1 species